UAAGAUGAAACCACAAUGGCCGCUUUCGAUCGUACCCAGCAAUCUCCUCGACUUAAUUGUCAAUGAAUCUUAACUGUAAAACACUUAACAGUGAAUCAAUUCAACUGUGUUAUGUGCAAUAUUUUUUUAUUAUUAUCUUACGAUCACGGCGAGAGGGAUCUGUGAGAACCAACAAUCAACAUUUCCUUCAAGCUGGUUGCUAUAUGUAUACAGAAAAAAAUUGCCAUAGGCGGGAUUGUGAAGAUUGAAGACGAUGAGUAAAACCGGAUCAGUCAACGAGAAAGAACAGACAACCAGUUUCACCGGGUACCGAAAGGAUGAAUUAAUCAAUUAAUAUAUCGUUUACGAAUGUAAAAAUAUCUACUUUGACUCUUGGUUGUGGCACAGACUUCGUAGUCUCUUGUUGUUGUGGUUUGCAACACAGCAGACGAGACAGUCUCAUCACAGGAUACCACUGUGAAUUGCACGGAUUGCCUGGGCAUAUCCUGACAGUUUGAGGAUACUGCAACCCUCAGGGUUUUACCCCAUGCAGAUUUAGUUAGUGAAUUGUAGCUCAACUCAAUAAGGAGCUUUCGGUCAACUAUAUUUUCCACUUUAUUAAUUGUUGCAUGGGCAGAUCCGUCGUGUUAAACUAAUGGACUGCCCUACCGUCUUCCAGCAGGGCGAUUGAUGGUGUCUUGCCUAUCGCGAAAGAGGUAUCAUUUUCUUUUGUAUUCAUUUAUUGGUUGACUGCGGUUAUGAUUUGGUUUCGACUACAUUGACAAUACAGCCGGGAACCUUCACCUUCUGCAAUUGUCAGCGAGUAUCGCCAUAGAGAGAGACUUUAUCAGAACAAUCAGUUUCAAAGUAGGACUUUUGGCGCGUUUUGGCUUGCAAAGUUGCAAUUGGCCAAUUGCAGAGAUGCGGACGUUUUUAAUUGAAAGACAGAGAAUGGCAAUGUUGCCCGUUGCUUCCAACUUCAAGAUGGCUGCUGGCAUUCGAGAAUCGAGAUACGACGAGAAAUGACAGCAAGUGACAGUUCCCUAGAGUGAUGGAUCAUCUCGGUCUGUACUUCGUAAAGUGUAUUUGCCGAUUCAUGUUUUUACUACCUAAACCAGUUAAAAUACUCCCGAGUCCUGAUUCAAGAUUUUCGUGGUGUUGUGGAAAGGAGAGCUACAGAUGGAAAUGCUAGAUGAGCAUAUUCAGCCUGCAUUUGCGUUUUCAAAAGAGUUCUUGCAAUUGUUCCAUGGUGGUUCUGGACUCCAGGUUUUGUGGUGUUGUGGAGAUUAAGAAUGGACAUGCUGUUUUAACUUUCUUUGAACUAUUUACAAAGCUGAAAAGGUUGAAGAAAAUUAAAUUGUGAAUAAAAUGUUGGGUCUUAAAUAGUGGUAAAUGUGUUAAAUAUCAGUUUGCAAAGGGAGAAUGUGUGAAAGUUUGAAAUUUGUUUCAGUUGAAUAAUUUUCCGGUUUUCGAUCUGAUGUCUAAAUAUGAUGCAUAUAAAAUGUAUUUUUUCAUCAAUAGUACAAGUUAUCUUCAGAGUACAAGCUGACAUCAGAGGAAUUUAAAUUCAUAUCUAUGUGAUUGUGUUUGAUUAGGUAAUGAUUGAAUAAAUGGAAUGCAAAUUAGA